UUACCGAGUUCGCGCCCCCUCGCGGGUCGACCUCCCACCCUGUGUUAUCGUUACCCGUGCUGCCCGGGCUCGCCCCGCGGCGCACCACACUCUUGAUAUUAGUGUCGUCUGAGUCUAAAACAUAAUAGUUAAAACUUUCAACAACGGAUCUCUUGGUUCUGGCAUCGAUGAAGAACGCAGCGAAAUGCGAUAAGUAAUGCGAAUUGCAGAAUUCAGUGAGUCAUCGAAUCUUUGAACGCACAUUGCGCCCCGUGGCAUUCCGCGGGGCAUGCCUGUUCGAGCGUCAUUUCAACCCUCAAGCUCUGCUUGGUGUUGGGCCCCGCCCCGUCUCUUCGCGGGCCGGCCCUAAAACCAGUGGCGGUGCCGCCGGCUCCUAAGCGUAGUAACUUUUACACCUCGCUCCAGGCUCCCGGCGGUCGCUUGCCAGCAACCCCAACUCUCCAGGUUGACCUCGGAUCAGGUAGGGAUACCCGCUGAACUUAAGCAUAUCAAUAA
rnacentral:misc_RNA from 1 species